AACGCGAAGAACCUUACCUGGGCUAGAAUGUGAGCGACUGAUCCUGAAAGGGGUCAUUCCGCAAGGACGCGAAACAAGGUGCUGCAUGGCUGUCGUCAGCUCGUGCCGUGAGGUGUUGGGUUAAGUCCCGCAACGAGCGCAACCCCCAUCUUCAGUUGCCAUCGGGUCAUGCCGGGAACUCUGAAGAAACUGCCGCCGUAAGGCGCGAGGAAGGAGGGGACGAUGUCAAGUCAUCAUGGCCUUUAUGCCCAGGGCUACACACGUGCUACAAUGGUAAGGACAAAGGGCAGCUACCUAGCAAUAGGACGCUAAUCUCAAAAAACCUUAUCUCAGUUCGGAUUGCAGGCUGCAACUCGCCUGCAUGAAGCUGGAAUCGCUAGUAAUCGCGCAUCAGCAAUGGCGCGGUGAAUACGUUCCCGGGCCUUGUACACACCGCGCAUA
rnacentral:rRNA from 1 species